AGUGGUAUCAACGCAAAACACAUAAGCAAAUUGACAGCUUUCUAUAAUACUCAAUGCAGCAUACACGUGCACGGUUUUUUGCUCAAUCUAUUUAUUC